GAUGAACGCUGGCGGCGUGCCUAAUACAUGCAAGUCGAGCGAACAGACGAGGAGCUUGCUCCUCUGACGUUAGCGGCGGACGGGUGAGUAACACGUGGAUAACCUACCUAUAAGACUGGGAUAACUUCGGGAAACCGGAGCUAAUACCGGAUAAUAUAUUGAACCGCAUGGUUCAAUAGUGAAAGACGGUUUUGCUGUCACUUAUAGAUGGAUCCGCGCCGCAUUAGCUAGUUGGUAAGGUAACGGCUUACCAAGGCAACGAUGCGUAGCCGACCUGAGAGGGUGAUCGGCCACACUAGAACUGAGACACGGUCCAGACUCCUACGGGAGGCAGCAGUAGGGAAUCUUCCGCAAUGGGCGAAAGCCUGACGGAGCAACGCCGCGUGAGUGAUGAAGGUCUUCGGAUCGUAAAACUCUGUUAUUAGGGAAGAACAGAUGUGUAAGUAACUAUGCACGUCUUGACGGUACCUAAUCAGAAAGCCACGGCUAACUACGUG
rnacentral:rRNA from 1 species